rnacentral:rRNA from 1 species
ACUCCUACGGGAGGCAGCAGUAGGGAAUCUUGCGCAAUGGGCGAAAGCCUGACGCAGCCAUGCCGCGUGAAUGAUGAAGGUCUUAGGAUUGUAAAAUUCUUUCACCGGGGACGAUAAUGACGGUACCCGGAGAAGAAGCCCCGGCUAACUUCGUGCCAGCAGCCGCGGUAAUA